rnacentral:tRNA from 1 species
ACUAAACGCAUCUUUUGAUUGCAACUCAAAUACUUUAACUUAAGCUAAAGCCUCCCAAACAGGUGGGCCUC